CCUACGGGAGGCAGCAGUGGGGAAUCUUGGACAAUGGAGGAAACCCUGAUCCAGCAAUGCCGCGUGAGUGAAGAAGGCCCUUGGGUUGUAAAGCUCUUUCACCCGUGAAGAAAAUGACUGUACCCGAAUAAGAAGGCCCGGCUAACUCCGUGCCAGCAGCCGCGGUAAUA
rnacentral:rRNA from 1 species